GACGAACGCUGGCGGCGUGCUUAACACAUGCAAGUCGAACGGAAAGGCCCUGCUUUUGUGGGGUGCUCGAGUGGCGAACGGGUGAGUAACACGUGAGUAACCUGCCCUUGACUUUGGGAUAACUUCAGGAAACUGGGGCUAAUACCGGAUAGGAGCUCCUGCUGCAUGGUGGGGGUUGGAAAGUUUCGGCGGUUGGGGAUGGACUCGCGGCUUAUCAGCUUGUUGGUGGGGUAGUGGCCUACCAAGGCUUUGACGGGUAGCCGGCCUGAGAGGGUGACCGGCCACAUUGGGACUGAGGUACGGCCCAGACUCCUACGGGAGGCAGCAGUGGGGAAUAUUGCACAAUGGGCGGAAGCCUGAUGCAGCAACGCCGCGUGCGGGAUGACGGCCUUCGGGUUGUAAACCGCUUUCGCCUGUGACGAAGCGUGAGUGACGGUAAUGGGUAAAGAAGCACCGGCUAACUACGUG
rnacentral:rRNA from 1 species